GUGGGGAAUAUUGGACAAUGGGCGAAAGCCUGAUCCAGCCAUGCCGCGUGUGUGAAGAAGGUCUUCGGAUUGUAAAGCACUUUAAGUUGGGAGGAAGGGCAGUAAGUUAAUACCUUGCUGUUUUGACGUUACCGACAGAAUAAGCACCGGCUAACUUCGUGCCAGCAGCCGCGGUAAUACGAAGGGUGCAAGCGUUAAUCGGAAUUACUGGGCGUAAAGCGCGCGUAGGUGGUUUUGUAAGUUGGAGGUGAAAUCCCCGGGCUCAACCUGGGAACUGCCUCCAAAACUACAUGACUAGAGUACGGUAGAGGGUAGUGGAAUUUCCUGUGUAGCGGUGAAAUGCGUAGAUAUAGGAAGGAACACCAGUGGCGAAGGCGACUACCUGGACUGAUAUUGACACUGAGGUGCGAAAGCGUGGGGAGCAAACAGGAUUAGAAACCCGUGUAGUCC
rnacentral:rRNA from 1 species